rnacentral:rRNA from 1 species
UACGUAGGUGCCAAGCGUUGUCCGGAUUUACUGGGCGUAAAGAGCGCGCAGGCGGUCGUUCAAGUCGAGUGUGAAAGCCCCCGGCUCAACUGGGGAGGGUCACUCGAUACUGAUCGACUUGAAGGCAGGAGAGGGAAGCGGAAUUCCCGGUGUAGUGGUGAAAUGCGUAGAUAUCGGGAGGAACACCAGUGGCGAAGGCGGCUUCCUGGCCUGUUCUUGACGCUGAGGCGCGAAAGCUAGGGGAGCAAACGGG